GACGAACGCUGGCGGCGUGCUUAACACAUGCAAGUCGAACGGUAAGGCCCUUCGGGGUACACGAGUGGCGAACGGGUGAGUAACACGUGGGUGAUCUGCCCUGCACUUCGGGAUAAGCCUGGGAAGCUGGGUCUAAUACCGGAUAGGACUCCGGACUGCAUGGUCUGGGGUGGAAAGCUUUUGCGGUGUGGGAUGGGCCCGCGGCCUAUCAGCUUGUUGGUGGGGUGAUGGCCUACCAAGGCGACGACGGGUAGCCGGCCUGAGAGGGUGACCGGCCACACUGGGACUUAGAGACGGGCCAGGCUACUACGGGGGGCAGCAGUGGGGAAGAUUGCUCAAUGGGCGAAAGGCUGAUUCAGCGACUCCGCGUGGGGGAUGACGGCCUUCGGGUUGUAAACCUCUUUCAGCAUCGACGAAGCGAAAGUGACGGUAGGUGCAGAAGAAGGACCGGCCAACUACGUGCCAGCAGCCGCAGUAA
rnacentral:rRNA from 1 species